rnacentral:rRNA from 1 species
GAUGAACGCUGGCGGCGUACCUAAUACAUGCAAGUCGAGCGAACAGACGAGGAGCUUGCUCCUCUGACGUUAGCGGCGGACGGGUGAGUAACACGUGGAUAACCUACCUAUAAGACUGGGAUAACUCCGGGAAACCGGAGCUAAUACCGGAUAAUAUAUUGAACCGCAUGGUUCAAUAGUGAAAGACGGUUUUGCUGUCACUUAUAGAUGGAUCCGCGCCGCAUUAGCUAGUUGGUAAGGUAACGGCUUACCAAGGCAACGAUGCGUAGCCGACCUGAGAGGGUGAUCGGCCACACUGGAACUGAGACACGGUCCAGACUCCUACGGGAGGCAGCAGUAGGGAAUCUUCCGCAAUGGGCGAAAGCCUGACGGAGCAACGCCGCGUGAGUGAUGAAGGUCUUCGGAUCGUAAAACUCUGUUAUUAGGGAAGAACAAAUGUGUAAGUAACUAUGCACGUCUUGACGGUACCUAAUCAGAAAGCCACGGCUAACUACGUG